AACCGACACAGGUAGGCGAGGAGAGAAUCCUAAGGUGUGCGAGAGAACUCUCGUUAAGGAACUCGGCAAAAUGACCCCGUAACUUCGGGAGAAGGGGUGCUUUUUAGGGUGAAUAGCCCAGAAAAGCCGCAGUGAAUAGGCCCAGGCGACUGUUUAGCAAAAACACAGGUCUCUGCGAAGCCGCAAGGCGAAGUAUAGGGGCUGACACCUGCCCGGUGCUGGAAGGUUAAGGGGAGAGGUUAGCGCAAGCGAAGCUUUGAACCGAAGCCCCAGUAAACGGCGGCCGUAACUAUAACGGUCCUAAG
rnacentral:rRNA from 1 species